ACACACUAUAUAGGUUCAGUUCAUCAUGGCGGCGUGUGACGAUUUGAAGUGACUCUUUUCUCAUUUUUAUAUUUCAUAUUAAUAAGGUAUUUUGUUCAAUAAAUAUUUGUACAAUUGAGUGAAAUAUGUGUGAUGUGAUUCUUAACAAUUUCAUGUGAUUGAAAACUUGAUAUCAAUGCGAUGUAAAGUGAAAUGUAGAAUGUAAAUUCAUUCGCUUCGUUUCAAGGAAGAGAGGGGUUCUGUCGCGCGAGUUUUUAUGCGGUUGGCGCGAUGGAGAAUUCGAGUCGAGAAUUUUUAACGCUUUUUUGAAUGUCGAUGGCAUAUUGUGGUGUGAACACGAUUUGCUUUUAUGGAAUAAUAUAUACGAUCGAAAUGCACGUAAUAUAGAUGAAUUUCUACGAUACGGCCACACUUCUCGACUCUGGAUUAAAAUUAACACAAAUUUUGUUCAAAAUUAAAUAACACUUACGUUCGUAUAUACGCUUCGAAACAUAUCAAAAUUCUAAAUCAAAUCCAAAGAGAUACAAAAACGAAGAAACAUCGAUAGAAAAUUAGAGAGAAACACCAAUCUUUCAUAUAAGAAGAGAGCAUCGAAUUAAUUUCACCCCUUUAUCAACAUUCCCGAAGAAACAUAAAUAAGAAAACAGUGCAAGAAUUUAAUCGCACAUCGGUGAACAACGAUUCUUCGAUGUUCUACGGGAGAAUGGACGUUGAAUUAACUUCACCCCGAAGAGAGAAAGAGAAGAAGUCAAAAUCUCCGCGCGAAGAUCCUUGAAAGACACUCGGCCGUUAACGCCUCUCGGAACUCCGACAGUCGACAGUCCGAAGAAACAUCGCGGAAAUCCGAGAUCCUGCUUAAAACUUUCCCUUCUGCUUCGAGAACCGAAUCGGGGAAUUUCCAUUGGGGGUUGAAUUUUUUAUCGGGAACAAAAGGACUCUGGUCUCCCGGGUUUAACGAAUUAGCGGAUUUUCGUUAUCCAAUCUCCGUGUCUCAGACCGGAAAUGUUACGAAUUAUGCACGUUCGAAUGCCAUAAUUAUCAAUUAGCAUGCGUAUCGAUACGUUGCACCAAAUAAUCCAAAACGAAUUUAAUCAGCGAUGACGAGGUGUGGAAGAUGGCAAGGAGGAUGGAGGGAAGGGAUUUAUGAAUAAAUCAAUAAGGUUAUUGAAGAAACAAGCUUUCGAGAUUAGUAAUUAAAUAUUGAUAAUUAAAUCGAUGAUUUUUAAUUAUUGGAGAUUGAACUACAUCUGUGUUUCUUUAAAAAAGAAAGAAUGGAAGUAUUUUUAUCAUUCAUCAUUGGUCAAAUCAAAGAAACGUAAUGGCGGAACAAUGAGAUUCCCAAGCUGGAAAUCUGUGAGGAUUCGCUAUUAUAUCAAGAAGGUUUCUCUGUGCCGGAGCAAAAGCAGUAGAUGAUCGCUCCCCUUCAAAAGGAACAAGAAAUAUUCACUCGGGAAUCUUGUAACCCCAUUACGUUUAGAUACUAUGCUUUGUCAGUCAUCAGAUCUUUUGUUCACGGAUCGUGAUCGCUUGCUCAAAGAAGUCGAAAAGUAGAGAACCUCUGCCUCUUGCUGUUUCGAAACGUUUUUUGGGAAUUAGCCUUCGAGACACGUCUAUCGAAUGAAUUGUUUCGAAAAUCUUUUUUCAUCCUUCUCGAGAAUGGAAAAUAAUAAAGAGAAUAAUUUACAUAAAAAUUUAAAUGACGUUGAUGCGAAUUCACGCAAUUUCAAAUUUCGUUUCAUUUGUUCUUUCUCGUGCAUGAAAUUUGAUAUUUUCUGUCUUGUAAAAAUUUUUAAAUUUUAGAGAAAAUUUCAUAGGUAUUUUUUGUCUUAAGAUUGACUAAUACAUUUUAUAAUUUUAAUUCUUGUUUUAAUCCCUAGAAAUCAGUUUUCGAAUUUCAUCAUUAUCGAUACCAAGAAAAUAAAAAAAUUCAUCAAGUAUGAAAUUAUCCACGACUUUUAUUAUAAAAUAUAACAUAUUUGCUACCUCAUUCUUCUUAGUUCAUCUCUUUAUUCUUUUUGCCGACUUAAUUAAGAUAUCUUGCAAGAUGUUUGAAAACACAUUUUUCAGUCAAAGCAAAAAUCUUUUAAUUAGUACUGCAUCUUUUAAAUGAUGUUUGAUUCAUCGUAGAGAUAUGUUCUUAAAGAGGAAUCUCGUUUAAAUAUCUUCUGAUACCAUUAUUUCUUUUUCCUUAUUAAAAAUUACAAGGGAAAUGCAUAUUUCUUUAUUAUUUAUUUAUCAUUUAAUUUAAAAUUUAUUAUUUUGUCCUUCGUAACAUUAUGAAAUUUUAUUUCUGAAAAGAAGAAAAUAUGAAAAUUUUUAAGGUUACUAUCUUCUCCGUGUAUUUCUCGCGGAAUUAUUCUCUAAAAUUAUUCUCGGUGUACUUUGUUAUAUAUUUGUUUUAUAUACGAAUGCAACCACGUCGAAAUUAGAAUAUUUUUAUAAAAAACUGGACAAAAACCUUUUUUAAAAAUUUAAAGAUAAUAUUUUCAGUGCUGAGUUUGCAAAACUUGAUAUUUUUAUUCCAAUAUCUAGUAUUAUCGAAUAACAAUUCGUUAAUUGAUAAUAUUAUUAAAUCGAUAAAUCACAAGUUAUCAUUCUGCAAUUAUUUUGCAUCAAAUAGAACAACCAUUAGAAAAUAUAUAAAAUUUAUAAAUAAAACUUCUUUGCUUUGCCAUCAAACUAUUUUACUUACCAAAUUUCGCUAAUAAUAUUACCCCAAUUAUCUCAAGAGGACUCUGAAAUUCUAAUAUACUCAAAAUUUCAUUGAAAUUUCAACGUAAGAUAUCCUAUUUACAUCUACAACAUUUAUUGAACCCACAUAGGCACAAUUUAUAGUGUCAAAUCAUUAUCCAACGCCAUUCAAUUCUUCAACCCUCCUCUAAAGAUCCGCUGGUACCACGAUUAUGUGGGUCCUUUUCAUUAGCAGGCCACGUGCAAUCCCUUCUUGGAAAAGAAUAGAAGAAAUCGAACAAGAGUCACAUCAUUGUGGUUUAUGAAACUCGCACAGCACACUUACAAAUUAAAAAACAGCUGUCUACUAUUACUUAAGCUCUUGUAUACGAAUCUCUACUCUGUAUCGUACAGCAUAAUACUUUAUUAAAGAAGAAAGACACUGCAUCAACGCAUUCUGAUCAACUUUGCCUCGAAUUAAUUGGAUUUUCUUUUCUACAAAUCGAAUUUUUCUGUGAUAAUAAAUUAAAGAAAAUAGAUAUUAAGAUUUUUUUUAAAUGGAAUCAAUAAAUCGAGGCAUCUUUCUGAUAUGAUAUUCGAAAUAUAUAUGUACGUGUUCAUAUUAAAACCGAGAAACUUCCAACCAUUUCCAUUAAGAGACCCCGUUUCGUUUUCAUCGAAAUCGAGGCGAGAUUAAUCUCGCCGAUUAUUGUGUACCAAAUGGAUAUUACAUCGAGCAGGAAUAUUUAACUUAUUCAGAAUGUUCCUACAGCUCGAUGAACUUAAUUUAUUAAACGAUGGGUGGCAUCGACGCGAUACUUUCACGGAGACUUAUCGUCGCGGAUUAAAAAAACGAUACGGGAUAAUCCGAAAUAAUGGAUUAAUCGUGCUAAGUGAACGUAAACUCCAAACCUGCUCAUUUCUCGAAGAACCAUCUUCGAAAUGCGAUUAGUUCAUGAUGGAGAACUAUAAAAACUUCAAUCGACGAAAAGAAUUUUUUAUGAUGAAUUUAAGAUCGAGUAUAAUAAGAAGAGAGAGAAAGAAGAUGGAAAGGAAACUUAAGAUUCAUUGGUCGAAUUUUUCCAAAGAUAUUGGUAAAACUAUAAAUCUUGAAUUAAGAAAUUGAAAGAGAUUCGAUAGAUUAAAAAAAUUGUAUGAAACAUAUAAUUUCUAAAAGAAUAUAAAAAUAACACAGAGAUAGAAAAAAGAACUAAUAAGACAAAAUAAAAAUAAUAUCAAAUACGAAACCUUACAACUUAAUCAUAUAGCAAAAAAGAAAAAAAAAAUCAAUAAUUUCUGUAAGUCACACUAAAGAUCACAUCAUCAAAGAGUCCUCGAGAUCUCUUGCCAAGAUUGACCUCGUGACAUAGGCUGCGUCAUAAUCCACUCUAGUUCUAAUCGUGGCGAUUUCGCCAAGAAGACUGUACUUGACACCCAGCUCGACAAAUUAAUUAUGCAUUCUAUCAAGAGGAGCAAGAAAGCAAGCGAACGAGCAGAGAAUGGCGAAUUGGAGGAAGAGGGAAAAGGAGGACACGUGCAAAAAAAGGAAAAUAAAAAGAAGCUGUCGAAAGGAUCCAAAGUUGGUUUUCAGCACUUCUUUUGCGGUUGAAAAUCGUGUUAUUCGAGGAAGUUAAACGAGGGUGAAUAACAUUUUAAUUGCCUUGAUCAAAUUAGACGUUUGUUCAACGCGAGUUGAACAGUAAAAGUGGUGUAUGUUCGAGUUUACGGUGUGUUGCUGUUUAAAUUUUCUGGAGAAUACAUGUUUAUGGAACUAUUUUGGUUUGGCUGGCUUCAACUGGUUAAUUUGGGUAGAAUGGAGGAAUUUUAUGAGGAUGCAUAAGUUAGUAGGUGUUGGAGAAUUUAUGUGUUCUGAAAGCCGCAUUAAUUAAGAAACAGCAAGAGGUUCCUUACGUGAUGUGGACCAGCGCAAAGAUGAAACAACCGGUGUUUUCAAUCAAAAACAAAUCAUCCCGAGAAGGCGUAAUUAAAUUUGAAAUAACUAAGGUGCUGAAAAAGACGACUCCUGGGACUCUCUUGAAACAGUGAAAAAUGAUAUAUCCGGAACAAAGUACGAAAUAUCCGCUCAGCUGGAUACUUUCUCGGCCAACCGUGCAAAUCCAUUCAAUCACCACCCACGCGAAAUUUCAACGUGUACAACGCAAUUGGUAUCCGUAUGUGGGAUAUCCACCUAGCGCCACCGUGAACAAUGGCGGCGAUCGCGCGAAACUAAUUUUCAACGAACGGGAUAUCCAAGCGACUCGGAUGCAAUUUCCGCACGUUUCUCGAUACACGCAUCGAUGCCGAAUGAAAAUGGCCACGAGCGAUGGAAAUGGCCGAUCGAUGAUGAUUCUAUCCCUUCUCGCGCGGCAAAGGUGAUCCACGCUCGUACCCUGAAGCGGGUAAAUUUGGCGGUGAAAUUUGUCGUCGCGAUUAAUUUCGUCGAAUAUAGCGAAUUACACGUCGGUGUGAGAGGAUUUGGAACUGGCAGUUGUUUAGGGAGAAGGGAGGGGGAGAUAUAUUGGUAAUGAUAUUAGGGAACGUGACUGAUAUGUGGAUUCACGGAUAAUGUAUUUAUGUUGCUCGUAAUGAAGCUCGUGGAAGAUGAUGAGGAUCGGUGUGGAGACGAUCUAGGUGUGGCGUAGAAGUUGGUGUAAUGGGAUUUGAGGAGUAGAUGUUAGAAUUCGAGUUGGGCGGUCUCUAUGUGAAUGUUAGGUUGGUUGGAGGGCGUUCAAGUGGCGUUAUGAAUUAAAUGCGAGAAAUUCGAUAGAACUGGAGUUUGGUGGAAUUUGGAAAUGGAAUCGGUAGAAUUGUUUUCGCGUUUGUAAAAUUGUGAAAGAGUUACAAGCUUUUGUAUUGAUAAAAGCAUCAUUGAGCGAGGUAAGUAAGCAGUGUUUAUCAGUCUCCUUUUCAUCUAUUGCGAUUCAUACAUACGUUUUUAGAACAAGAACAAAAAUUAGAAGUUAGAGAUCAAUUGAGAAUAAAAAGAAGAUUCGAUUGAAACGGAGCUAGAAUUUUAUCGAGAGCAAGAUUAGCUGAUCAAAGAGGUUAAUGAGCUUCGGAGAAAUCGUCUGUGAUGACUUUUGUAUCGGAACUUGGUCCAAUAGACAUGGCCACACCUGUUUCGCAUAAAAGAACAGCUGUAGCGAUAACGAAACAGUAGUUAAAACGAAACAUCAAUCGGAAAUGAAGCGAGACGUUUCUGCAUACAGAGUAUGCAGAUUGGCCAAAAAUUCCUCUUACAGCAAAUAUACGAAUUACUCCUUUUAUAAUUUAUAUUUUUCAACGAUAUUUGAUAAAUAUUUCUUUGGAGAACGUGUAUUGUAACUUUCAUAAAAAUUGGAAAUCUACAUUUAAGAAAUAUAGAUUAACAAAUAACGAAUGAAUGGAAAAAAUCGAAUUGAUUAUUAAAAAAUUAUCAACCAAUAUAAUUUUGCAAUUUCAAAUAGAUCGAUUAAUCUGGUAUUUUUUAAAAAAGGACAACUCUGUUAUUAAUAAUAUUAGCUCGAUUUCCCGAAACAUUUCCUUGAUCGUGAGAAUCAAAUAUUACCGGUUUCCGCAGCAAUAUGUUCUCAAAUAUUGGGGGAAAAGAAUCACUGCGGAUGUUCGAUCGUUGCGCAGCAACGUGACGACAGGAAGAAGGUUCUCCUUUUCUCCACCUCACCGGGGAAGAUAGUUGCAUUAUUUAUCGCAGAUUGGAACCGGAAACUGGGUCAAGAUAAUUAUGUCCCUCGGAAAAUUUUCUUUUUCAGACCUCUUAAUUACUUUCAUCCGGGGCGACCUCGCAUAAUUUAUGCAGACGUACGUCCGCGAAUGUUUCCUUCAAACGCUUCUGAUUCGAAAUCUCGGAUCUCUCCCAUUUCACCUUUUGCCUCUUCAAACUUGAUCAACCAUCCUCGAUUAUUCUAAUUAACUUACUUUCUAAUCUUCUUAUUCGAGUCACGCCUCUUUCUAUCAUCUUUAAGAGUAAAAUUUUAUUUUAUUCGCUCAUUGGAAAUGCGGAAAAUUGAUCUUUUCUGCUGAAAUUCACAGCUACAUUUAUUUUGCACCUCGAACAUCGAGACCAUAUUACAAAUACCAUUUUCCAGUUUUUUUAAUUAUUUCGUUUAAUUAUUAUUGUAUGGUUAUUGUUAUUGUAAAUAUCGCUGUUUGAACUUUCAGAAAGGAAAUAGAAUGUUGAGAUACUA